rnacentral:rRNA from 1 species
UUUGAACAUCGACAUCUUGAACGC